CGUGGUUCCGUUCUUUGUUGAAAUUGCCCGAUACCUGCAUUCAAAGCAAAUAUACCAUGAACAGAGUAUGUGUCCUAUCGAGCGGUGUGCUCGAAGCAGGAACGAUCGGCCGAUCGUUAUUCCUUUUGUCCGUUACGUUGAAAUCAAAUAAAAUUUAUUGGAUCAUAAACGACUGAAGGCUGCAUACUCAUCAACAAAAAUAUUCGGUAUCAUCCAGCGACGCUUUCAGUGGCUACGGAGCUGACGAUCGCUCGAGGAUCCUUCAACUUUAAUUGAACCUCCAACAGAGAUUUUUAUGGUGCUCGCCCUACAUAUAAUCCGGGAUGAGUUAAGGGGGUUGAAAAUCUCAGUUUCUGGAGAUCGAGCGUUUUCAUGUUGACAGAAUUGUGGUGAAGAAGAUGAAUCGAGACUUUAAGGAAAAAUACUAAUAAAUUUCUGAGACUGGAGUUAAGUAUUUCUAUUCAUGAAUUGCAUUCUUAAAAAACAGUGUAGUCAGUAGCUAUACAUUUGUACCGUAAACUUGCAAUUAAUAGUUUUGUUAUUUCUUGUAUCGGUAUACAAUAAAGGGGUUGUUAAACUCCUUUUGACUAUGGAGAAGCGACGGUGAAUUAUCACGAAAGCAGAUGCAACGAGGGCUGGUAGCAAGAGGAGGCUGAAUGAACACACGGAUGCGUAUCGAACCUGCGCGUUCCGUAUUGCGCGACAUGCAUCGCUCGCCCAUUUUACUUCGGGGGCGGAAUACACGUUUCUACAGCGUGCACCAUGAACAGGGUAGACAAUGGAACAGGACACAGCUGAUCCCUCUCACAGUUUCAAUGUGUGCUUGAACAAGGAUCAGCAUCCCUCGUGCAAGUUGGCCACCGUCGUCAGGUAAUCUGGGAUCAAGUUCAAGAUAGAGCCCCCCGACAGUUACAGAUUAUACUUGUGCAUAGAACAGCCCUGUAUUUACUCAACAAUUAAUUUCCUUUCGGAAUAAUUAGAUGGAAGUUUGCAAUUCUGUUUCUCGACAAAUUUAAAUGUUCAACGUUCGAUUUUAUGUGGA